CGGACAGCCCAGCUGACGCCUCCUGACAGGACCUACUGCUUCCUUUCAUCUCAUCCCCCGUUUCUCCCAGCUCCGUCCUGGCAGGCCGCACCCAGGGGUGUGCGAGAGAGGGAUCGGAACGGGUGCCUUGAGGUGAUCGGCUCGCCGUGACACCGGCCAGCAUCUGUUCGGCGUCACUGCACAGCUGUCUAGAGAUCUCCUGGGACCAGCUGUGUCCCGCCAGUGUCUGAGGGAGGACAGGAAGGGUGUCCAAUGAGUCCUUUUAAAACAGAAUGAUGGCUCAGCAAUUGCACUUAGGUGCAAAAGUGAUGGUUAAUUAGGUCUCACUUGGCCAAUGGAAACUGUCUACAACCUGUCUGAUGCAAAUAACUGGGCUGGAGACGAGGCCCUGGAAGAGAGCCUUCCUGAUCCAGGCCAGCACCCCUACUGCCCCUC
rnacentral:lncRNA from 1 species